UAUUCAGGCAGUGGCCAGCAAGCCUUGGCUGCGUUACGACGUGCAUCUCGUCCGUGAGCAUCUCCACCCGCGUUACGCGAGACGAGCCUGACUUGCAUUCGUGGCGGUUGGCUCUGGCCCCCGUAGAGACACAAAAAGCCCUGCCCUAAGGCCUCCGUAAGCGCUCUCACAAUUCUUUUUCUUCGUUUUUGUCCCGUUAAUUUGUGUUCGCGAGAACGCGCGCGUGUCGUGUCCCGUUCCUUACUAAGAGGACAGAGAACGUAGUGCUGGUUGAGGGAGGAUAUCGCGCGAGCUCAGCUGAGGGAGAGUGCAUAGUGUGUGUGGUGCGUGCGUCAAACAUAACCUAGACGAGGAUCGGAAGGCGUCCUCCUCUCAUUGGUAAAUAAAGUGCUAAUACGUGGGGAUAACAGUGACUAGAAAUUUGCCGAGAGCUUAGAGUACUCUCUGGUGGUAAUAUAUAGUGUCGGUUGUGUAUUGUGUCGCUUUAUAUAUAUUGCAAAUGGGUCGAAGGUCUAUCUGUGCUAGAAGCGGUUAGCCAAACGAGUGUGUAUGUACAGCCUUAUCCCUCACGACGCGCUACCAACUACUAAUCCUACUCUUCCCUCUUUUCCUCACUACCAUUUCCUCCUUCACGCUCUAUCUCCAUCGUUCUUUUCGCACGCUGUCAUUCUCUCAGGCUGGCAACUUCCUUUUUUCUAUCGUGAGCAAGUUCCUUGGCCAGAACCUCGAAGGUACGCGGCAUUCUUGUCAGUGGCUCAAAAGCUCUCUACGUUUAUGCGAAAGAAGUCUUGAUAAGAAAAUGUGAUAACAUUGGCUAUAUCACGGAUUCGUACUAAACAAUAAUAAAGUCAUCCUCGCUAAAAUCGGAUAUUCUUCCUUUCCCAGGUUCAACGAAUAUUCUUCGCAUCCCUUUGUGCACUGUGAUUUAAAUAAAAGAGCACAAGGUCGUUGAUUGGCUGACUUGGAAAAUAAGCAGACGUCAUAACUCUUAUCGUUAACGAUAAGAAGAGGACCCUCAAGAAGAAUAAUAAGCCAGCGUCGUGAUUUCUUAAGACCGUGGUCAUAAACUACCCCGAGGACACCAUCCCAAGAGGAAUCCGAAUGAGGUUAUAUCGAAAUCCUGUCUAACCUAUUCUCGCUGGAUUCGUCUUUUCCUGAUCCGCCCGUGGCUGUACUCACUGGUCACUUGUCUGAAGGUAAACAAAGGCGCGAACUACUCGUGAAAAGUAAAAGGAUUAGCUGGAAGAGGGUAGUGAAAAUACCUAGGGGAUAGUCAAAGACACGUAUAAAGGAUUCAGGUAUAUUAAGAAUUCCUGAUUACCGUACGAAAAGUGAAUCGACAAAGUUAAACCAGUGCAAUAAUCGUGAGAAAGUAAAGGAAGUGGCAUUUGAGCCUCUAACGUUUUGAGUGUUUAAAGAGAAAUUCGAGUGCGGGUGGUGAAGUUCCAAGAGGUUUCACUGAAUGUGAGGAACAGGAAUAUCUAAAGCUGAAACCAAAGCCAGGAGAGACAAACUGGGACGAGAAGAAAAGAAAAGCAUUAAAGGACUAAGGAUAUAAAGCGGACUGGUGAAGAAGAAGGUGGGUGCCAGUAAAAGACGAGGAGGAAGAGGGUGGCCGAACGUAGGGAUACCUAGGAAGGAUUUGAUGGCAGUAGUGGGGCCCAGCCGGCACUCCCGGGUGUCCAUGAGCGUGUCUAUGUCUUUAAUGCAGGGGGCCGGGGCUGGGGCAACCGGCGGCGGGUCUACGGGGGCCCAUCCGGGCCAGGCGGUCCUGGCAGCGGCUGCUGCAGCCGCGGCCCAGGCACCACCUACGUAUUAUCAUCCUGCAGCCCCAGCACCACCACCCCCACCACCACCUCAGGAUCCUGUGCAGCCUGACAGACCCAUCGGUUAUGGAGCCUUUGGCGUUGUUUGGGCCGUCACGGAUCCGAGGGACGGCAGAAGAGUGGCCUUGAAGAAACUGCCGAACGUCUUUCAGAGUCUCGUCAGCAGCAAAAGAGUCUUCAGGGAGCUGAAGAUGCUCUGCUUCUUCAAACACGAGAACGUACUGUCUGCUCUGGAUAUCCUGCAGCCGCCGCAUCUCGACUUCUUCCAGGAAAUAUACGUUAUCACGGAGCUACUACAGAGUGACCUGCACAAGAUCAUCGUGAGUCCACAGCAUCUUAGCUCGGAUCAUAUCAAGGUCUUCCUCUAUCAGAUUCUACGGGGACUGAAGUAUCUUCACUCGGCCAGAAUCCUGCACAGGGACAUCAAGCCUGGAAAUCUUCUCGUGAACAGCAACUGCGUCCUGAAGAUCUGUGAUUUUGGCUUGGCCAGGGUGGAAGAACCGGACAAGAACAAACACAUGACGCAGGAAGUGGUGACGCAAUAUUAUCGGGCGCCAGAAAUCCUCAUGGGAGCGAGACACUACUCGGCAGCGGUGGACGUCUGGAGCGUGGGCUGCAUCUUCGGGGAGCUUCUUCGUAGGCGAAUCCUCUUUCAAGCACAAAGUCCAGUUCAGCAGCUUGAGCUCAUCACGGAACUCCUAGGAACGCCGACCCUGGAAGACAUGAGGUACGCCUGCGAGGGUGCACGGUCACACAUGCUGAGACGCGCCCCUAAGCCGCCAGCGUUAACGUCCCUCUACACCCUGAGCAGUCAGGCAACGCACGAGGCAGUUCAUCUGCUCUGUCAGAUGCUGGUGUUUGAUCCUGACAAGAGGAUCACUGUCGUGGACGCCCUGGCUCAUCCGUAUCUCGACGAAGGUAGACUACGUUAUCACUCCUGCAUGUGCACCUGCUGCUACACAACGAACGCAGGCAUGAGGCAGUACACGACCGACUUCGAGCCAGCAACGCCGCAUCCCUUCAACGAUCACUGGGAACGAAAGCUAACGAGCGUACAGCAGGUCAAAGAGGAAAUGCACAAAUUUAUAGCGGAACAGCUGAACACGUCGCGCGUGCCCCUCUGCAUAAAUCCGCAGUCCGCGGCUUUCAAGAGUUUCGCAAGGUAAGCCCCCUUUGAUGGGAGUGCGAAAUACGUCGCCAGGCACACCUACCAACCAACCAACCAAAACCAACCAAACCAACCAACCACAAAACAACCAAACGCCAACCAACCAAAACCCUGAAUAUCCGCCGUAUAUAUAUAUAUUAUAUAUACCUGCACUAACGUGCACUUCUAUAUAUGGUUUAUAUAUGACAUAUACGAUGCGAGCGAGUCUCGCGCGACAGACAUGCAAUUUGGGUCCUGCCACUUUUUCCUGAUAAAAAAAAAAUCUACGGUAUAUAUACUUUACAAAAUAUAUAUACGAAAGCAAGCGAACUGCCGUCGUCGCACGAUAGUUGGCCAUUGUCAGCUAUCGGAAAAACCUCUUUCAUCGGGCAGCACGAGCAUAACAGGGCUGCGUGUCGGCUGGAGCAAAGGGGAGAGGAAGUGUAUGCGAAAAAUGGAGAAUAGAGGGAAAACGAUGGGAACAAGAGGAAUGACAAUGGAAUAAUAUUUUACGAUGAAAAUGACUUCCCUUGAACGAUGCCCAUUAGAGCAAGCCACCUGCCAACCCAGCACCGUGCGCCGCGUAUACGUACACAUUACCACUACCGAAUCAGCUAUCUACCACUGUCAGCUACCACUAUCGACUACUACUAUCAUCUACUACUACUACUACUACCACUACUACUACUACUACUACCAAUCGUUACGUCUCCUCCUGAACGAAUGAAUGACCGAGAAAUCAGCUAUAGUCGGAACAACCUCGCUCGCAGAGCUCCACGGUGGCGCAUCCCAUGGACCUGCCACCCUCGCCCCAGCAAUGGGAAUAAAGCACAGCUCGCUCCCAGAGACCUGGAAGCGAUUCCACGCAGGCAAUCCUAAGAGAGGAGAGCGAGUGGAAGGCGAAGAACAGGGCAGGCCGAAAAGGGAAGCGAACCCGCAAGAUAAUCCCAAGGAAGUACGAGCGAAGAUAAGAAGUAAAAGAAGUGGAGGAUCGUUUGGAUGUCCUGGGAUCAUCGUAUUUUGAAGCCCGUGAAGAGCCACGAGAGACAAUAGACUGCCGAGCAUGUAGCCUCAAUUUUUCGACUAGCUGAAUAUAAAUAGUACUAGGGAACGAGAACGCGGUAGACGCGGAUGAAGAAGAAGAAGAAGAAGAAGACGGAAGACGAAGAGGCGGAAGACGAAAGACAAAGGAACUUUGCCGUAGUGCAAAUGUAAGGCGUUGCGGAUAAGAGAGCGGCAAGAGUUGUGUGGAUGAAGUGCGCUAUGCCAAAAUGAGAGAAUGGGGGGAAGAGGGGGUUGGGCGGAUAUAGAAGAUGAGGAUAAAGGGAGAUAAAAAGAAUAGGGUUGAAAACAGAGUACACUGUACAGAAGGCGGCGAAUGGCGCAGUGAAAGAUGCGACCCAGAAGAAAGAACUAUAUAUAUAUAUAUAUAUAUAUAUAUAUAUAUAUAUAUAUAUAUAUAUACACGUAAAUAUAUAUAUAUAUGGAGGAAUAGUAAACGGGCCAGUUCUUAGAUUUUCAUUUACACAAAGACAGCUGGCAUUUAUUGACUAUAUAUACAAACAUUAUACAUAUAUAAAUGCGUCUCUGUAUAUGUAUAUAUAUAUAAUUAUAUUAUUAUUAUUAUAUACAUACACACGCAUGCAGUACGAAUAGGUAUUAAAAUAUUAGUUUUUAACGUGUAAAUGCCGAAUGCGUUGAAUGGCGUCUCGCGUGCAGCGACGUCCCCGUUGCGUUUCCUUCUCUUAUCUUUUUUCUUCUUUUUUCUCCCUCGUUCCGUGCGUUCAGCGAGAGCGCGAACGACGCUAUUCCCAGGAUAAUACAAUAAGAUAGAGAAAGAUAGCGGACGUACAGGACGCGACCCCAAGUUCACAAGUACUUACAAGAUGGUAGAACGCUGGGUAGAGUGAAAGUGUGAAAAAUUUGGAAAAAAUUGCGGCUCUCCGCGAACGAGGAGUCUCGCGUCACGGGAAAUUUCCUAAUAAAAAUGUAUUAUCUUUUAAAUGCGAUCGAUCACUGUGUUGUCGCGCAGAUGCGAUCCUCCACGUGGAAUUCCCAGUGGCGUCGGAGAGCCGUCUCGGUUAGGCGUGUAGUAGGAAGGUGCAAUUCCUAAUGUAAAAGGUGACAUGCGCGCCCACGCUGUUGAAGAGGGACGAGAAGAAAAAUUGGGGAGAAAGUGCGAGAAUGACCAUUGGUGAAAUGGCGAGAGUGAAAUAGAGGGAAAGGAAGGUGGCGAGAUAAAUUAAAGAGGCGUCAGGCGGAGAGUAACGAUGAAUUUCAAUAUCACUGCCGAAGAAUCUUAGCGUGCGCGAUCCGAACGAUAAUGCGCGCUUGGAGGGUCAGUGGCGCAUAGAGAAGUCAAGGGACAGAGAGAGAGAGAGAGAGAGAGAGAGAGAGAGAGAGAGAAAUGUGAGAAAGGUUCGGGAGGAAAAAAGAAAAGGAGAAUGAGAAAAGGCGCAAAGAGGUGUGUACGUAGGGGGCGAUUAAUAGUCGCAUAGAAAUAAUCCACGUUGUAAAUAUAAGUAAGACAACUGCACGAGCGUUUAUUUUUUAACGUGUAGCGGGAUAGCAUUUUUUUGCCUGGCGAUAAUUUUCGCGCGGCUGCCCUGCGACGUCCCGCACGAGACGUGCCGGAGUUACUUUAUUCCCGCGCCGUCGACCUAGAACGAUUUUAAGGUGUGUACACACGGUUUCACGUAGCUUUCACGUACUGUUAGUAUUUUCAUUGAUAAUGGCGCGAAAUCGGCACUGGCUUUAUAUGAAUACGUUCUGAGUGUGAUUUUAGAAUAAGAGGUAAAAAAAAACAGUAACCGCUAGACAUCCGUUCAGGGAAUAAUUUACGACACCCUGAGCAAAGUGUAUCUUAUAAGCUUUAAGAACUAGGGAGGACGGUGAUCGCCGUUAUCUUUGUUUCUCCUUCUGUGCUUUUCUUUUUCUCUUUCCUUUAUUAUUAUCGCGCCGACAAGAAAGCGCGAUUCUCGUUGUCUCUUCUUUUUUUUUCUUCUCGUCUCAGUACCUUCCUUUUUUUUUAUUGAGUUUCUCACUUCUGCGAAAGUGCGCAAGGUACUCUGGUGGACGAUUUAAGUAGCUUUUAAUAACCGUGACGCGCAUGCGCGGCGCGAUUCACUAUACGUAGGGAAGUAAUACGUCGAGCGCGGACUUAGGCAAUUAUUCUGCGUUAUUUACUCGCGAUGCUUUCGUAGGGUCCACAUUUGGUCUCGUUCUCAAUGAAAGUUACGAGAGAAAUACCGGAAGCGGAUUUUACGUUGCUCGUAGCAGCCGUGGAAGAAAUAUUAUUUUUAGUUUUCUACGCGAUCCGAGUUUUACGAACAAACAAUGCAAGAGCUACGUGUAUCCUGUAAUAUUGUAAAUUACUCUAGGUACUCCAGUUUAGUUUUACUUCUUUGAACUAUCUUUGUUCUUACUUUUUUUUUUUCUUUUUUUUCUUUUAAUUACUUUUGCAUUUUCCUUUAUCGUCUCUGGUUUUUUUAUCUGUAUUUCUUUUUCAAAUCUUGUCCGUUGUUAUUCUGAUCACUUCACUGUCUCGUCUAACGCGGCGGACAUGAUAUUCGCUCAUUUGUACAUAUGUCAUUUCAUAUCUGUAUAUAGUUCACGUACAACACUACAUUACUUGCGUUACGUGCGUUGCGUAUCAUACCAUUUACGUCAUUUAGAUCGUCGAUUCGUCCUGAUAUUUCUGCAAUCGAUUGUAGGCCAAUUUUUUUAAUUAAGAAAAUAAUAACGCCUGUAAUUUUAAGACACGAAAAUUAGCGUUCCACUAGUGCGAGAGAAACGAAAUUUUGGCAUUUUUUUUUUAAUCGUUACCGAAAGUUUUGCUUUUUUUUAAUUUAUCGGUCAUUAUUAUUUUUUUUUUCUUUUUUAUCCAUAUCCGACGUAGCAUCUACUAUUCAUUAGUUACGCGUCAAUCACUUUUUUUAAGCAAACGACUUCGUGUCGCAAUUUUAUAUGGAUCCUCCAACCGAAAGUUACAUCGGAUUCAAGAAUACGUGCGAAAUUUAUCUUUUAACGUAUUUGACAGGGAAAUCAUUGAAAUUUGGAAAAAUAUUGCUGUAUAACAAAAUUCGUCUCCUACUGGCAGGUAAUCGAUGCCGACAUGUAAAAAGCUCUAAAAGUCGCGGAGAGCUUUCGGAUAUUUUUCACUAAAAUCAAUUUUAGAAAUUAAGUUUGUGCAGAGGCGUCGUGAAACUUCAAUUCGAAUAUUUUGAAAAAUGAAAAAAAAAAAGCGAAAAUACAGCAGGACGUUAAACGCAAAGUCGGCUCACAAAGAUUUUGUAUUUCCAUUUGUGUCUCUUAAAUCAUACAAAAUCUGCGUAUCAACCAUUGUAAAUAAUAAAGCGUUACGAAAGGCUACAGAGGAGUAUCAGUAUAACUUAACAAAAAAAAAAAAAAAAAACACAAGAUCAGAUGGAAAAGGAGGUUCGAAUGGAGUAAAUACAAAUAAUAAAAAAAAAUGCAAAAUGUAAAAAAAAGUUCUCUCGCGACUAAUGGAUACUUCUGUAAUCGUAACUGUUUGCUGUAUUACGAUUAGCAAUUACGAGGCAGACUUUUACUCUAUUUAUGUCUGUUUGUUUUUUAUAUACAUGCAUAUAUGUAUAUAUACUACACAUCAUUUCGUCCUCUAUACAUGAUGAAAAAUGCUCUCCGAAUGAAUCUUCGAAGUUUAAUGUUAAUUUUUUUUAAAAAGCACGAUUGCGAUUGGCCAGAAUAAAUUAUUGUCACGAAGAAUGAAAAGCGUGUGAAAAUAUUAAGAGAUUAAGAGAAAAUAUCUUUAUACGCUGUAGCAUCAGAGGAGGUAUAUAAAUAGGUAGUUGGGAAUGAAUUAGAGUUAACGAAGCAGCGAUAAAAUUUAUGGGUAUAAGGAAAACAUGAAAAGAAAGAAAUCAAUCGCCACAUAAUGACGGAUCGAUGACGAAUAAGAGUUAUUUGGUAAAGUUAAAAAAAAAAGUUGUCAAACAGCACGAGGAAACGGAGAUAAAUUUUUUGAGAAAAUUGCAAACGUAAUUCACUUGAGAGAAUGACUUGUAAAUAGUUUUUCUUUUUUAUUUUUCUUUUUUCAUUCUCUCUCCGUUCGCUCACGGUCCAAGGAGCCAUUGACGUCCUGCCAAUAGCCAAUAAAUGCUGCCGUUUUUACAAUCACCCCAUGACGCGUUUCGAUGAAGAAUAGAGAGAGCCCAACUAAUCAUUUUUUUUUUUCCCUUACAUUUACCGCAGUCGAUUAAAAAAUCUUUCUCCGAUUUCUAUAUCCUUUCCUCGUAAGGCUUACGGCAACUGCGCGCGACCCUCGAAUAUGUAUUUUAAUUCUUGCGUUCUUUUGCUUUCAUUCUCAUGCAAAAGACGGAGGACACCGUAUACUUUCAAGUCCUCUGACUCGAGAGAAAUCUUCGAUUUUUUUAAGUUCUUUUACGACCGAUCUCAUCGUCCGCGAUUUCUCGUCAUCGUGACGAUCGUUCCCGGCGACGGCGACUGCGACGACAAUCGUCGACGACGGGAAACCCGUGUACUAAUUCUUUCCAGAAAGUGAACGGUGACGGGAAGGACACCCACGCGGCUCCCGUUAAACGUCAGACUGUCGCCACGUGGGUUUUGAACUUGUCAAAUUUUUGUUUUUAACCUUCGUCCUUAACCUAUCGAGAAUAGAUGGGAAAGAAGAACGAAAUUCGCGAAAUCGAUCGUCCACGUGGCGACGACGUAAGAAGGGAGGCGACAAGGUGCGCGCGACUUUUAGGGCGACACGACGAGUGUAGUAGAGUAGAUGAGUCUUUCUUUAUAUAUAUAUAUAUAUAUAUAUAUGAUCUGUUUAUUUCCAAUGGUUACUCUUAACUGUUGCAAAUAAACAAAUAGUUGACACGCAAGAGAAAUGAAGAAAAACAAAAAAAGUUUAAUGUUUCCUAUUAAGGUAAUCGCCAAGUAUAGAGAGAGAGAGAGAAAAAACGAUAACGAGAAUACGAAAGAGAAAGGCAAAAAAUAACGAAAACUUAAUGAGAUGCAAAAAGCAUACUUUGUAAAUACGUAGCUCACUGUAGCUGGUCAGUUGGGCAUUUAAUUACACGUGACAGAGACAGUACACGCAUUUAUAGAUACACACUUUCCCCUCGCUGUAAAAAAUUAGGUCACGCACGUCAUGCAUCUCACGCGUGUGUAACUGAUAAGGGGUACGAAUACAAAAAUAAAUAAUAAAAAAUGGCGACGCUUUUCGCGAAUUUAAUUUUCACGUUGAGUCGUCGAUAUUAGACUUAUACAUAUUAUACAUACGUACGGAGUUGUUAUACCUGGCAUAUGCACACGCAUGAGAGAUAGACAACACACAUGCGAUACACGAUUAAAUUAUAUAAUAACGAGGCUAGGUGAUAAUGCGUAAAUCGUUAAGGUACCUACGUUAUAUAUAUAUAUAUAUAUUAAAUAAUUAAAAAAAAAAAGAUAUACCCUACAAUAGCGAAUAUGCCUUCAUUAUGGAAAGUGGCUGGCACAAGAUGCACCAAACAAUAAAGUUGCUACAGAAAUACAAGAGAAUCUCUUGAGAACGUCAUUGCGAUCGAUCGCGACAGAUCGAUCGGCAUAAAAUUUCGCAGAUUUCCUUUAUAUCCAAUUUUUUUUUAAUUUCCCAAAAAAAAAGAGUAACCCGUCCAACAAAAUUUUCCAUUCGAUCCGUCUAUUCCAAUUUUUUGUUUUCAGGUAAUUUUACGUUGAGCUAAAUUUUUAUGAUUUAUGUGUAUUUUUUUUUUUUACUUUUAUUCCCGUUAUUAACCGUUUCGUGCACAAGAGUCUAACGCAUGUGGGAAGAUGAAAAAUAAAAAUAAAAAAUGAUAGGACACGUACGGUUCACGCAGACAGAUACGGGAUACAGAGAAUCGAUUCUAAAUGCAGCAACUUUGUUGUUGCUACUGUUUUCCUGUAUUCUUGUAUAUAUAUAUAUAUAUAUAUAUUAUAAGUGCGACACUCAAGCGUUAACUGUAGGGAAACACCGUAUGGUUUAUUACUGUCAUUAUUACUGUGUAAUGAAUACGAUUUUAAUGAACUUUAUCGAGUCGAUACGUCGCGUAGUUCGAGGGGGCACGCAAGUAACAGGUGAAAUGUUUGUCGCUUUGGUAUAUCAGGUAGGAGAUUUAGCGGUCAGAAAAAAAAAAAAAAA